rnacentral:rRNA from 1 species
UCCUACGGGAGGCAGCAGUGGGGAAUUUUGGACAAUGGGCGAAAGCCUGAUCCAGCAAUGCCGCGUGUGUGAAGAAGGCCUUCGGGUUGUAAAGCACUUUUGUCCGGAAAGAAAUCCUUGGCUCUAAUACAGUCGGGGGAUGACGGUACCGGAAGAAUAAGCACCGGCUAACUCCGUGCCAGCAGCCGCGGUAAUACGUAGGGUGCGAGCGUUAAUCGGAAUUACUGGGCGUAAGGCGUGCGCAGGCGGUUUGCUAAGACCGAUGUGAAAUCCCCGGGCUCAACCUGGGAACUGCAUUGGUGACUGGCAGGCUAGAGUAUGGCAGAGGGGGGUAGAAUUCCACGUGUAGCAGUGAAAUGCGUAGAGAUGUGGAGGAAUACCGAUGGCGAAGGCAGCCCCCUGGGCCAAUACUGACGCUCAUGCACGAAAGCGUGGGGAGCAAACAGGAUUAGAUACCCUGGUAGUCCACGCCCUAAACGAUGUCAACUAGUUGUUGGGGAUUCAUUUCCUUAGUAACGUAGCUAACGCGUGAAGUUGACCGCCUGGGGAGUACGGUCGCAAGAUUAAAACUCAAAGGAAUUGACGGGGACCCGCACAAGCGGUGGAUGAUGUGGAUUAAUUCGAUGCAACGCGAAAAACCUUACCUACCCUUGACAUGGUCGGAAUCCCGCUGAGAGGUGGGAGUGCUCGAAAGAGAACCGGCGCACAGGUGCUGCAUGGCUGUCGUCAGCUCGUGUCGUGAGAUGUUGGGUUAAGUCCCGCAACGAGCGCAACCCUUGUCCUUAGUUGCUACGCAAGAGCACUCUAAGGAGACUGCCGGUGACAAACCGGAGGAAGGUGGGGAUGACGUCAAGUCCUCAUGGCCCUUAUGGGUAGGGCUUCACACGUCAUACAAUGGUCGGAACAGAGGGUUGCCAACCCGCGAGGGGGAGCUAAUCCCAGAAAACCGA